CAAGGAAUUUUCCGCAAUGGGCGCAAGCCUGACGGAGCAACGCCGCGUGCGGGAUGACGGCCUUCGGGUUGUAAACCGCUUUUCGGGGGGAUGAGAGAGGACCGUACCCCCGGAAUAAGCCUCGGCUAACUCUGUGCCAGCAGCCGCGGUAAUACGAAGGGGGCUAGCGUUGUUCGGAAUUACUGGGCGUAAAGGGCGCGCAGGCGGCCGCUCAAGUCAGGUGUGAAAGCCCCGGGCUCAACCUGGGAACUGCACUUGAUACUGAGUGGCUAGAGUUCGGGAGAGGAGAGUGGAAUUCCCAGUGUAGAGGUGAAAUUCGUAGAUAUUGGGAAGAACACCGGUGGCGAAGGCGGCUCUCUGGACCGAUACUGACGCUGAGGCGCGAAAGCGUGGGGAGCAAACAG
rnacentral:rRNA from 1 species